rnacentral:lncRNA from 1 species
UAGAAAUUAGUAUGCUGGACGGCGGUGGAUGGAUGCAUAUUGGACCAAUGGAUCUCCAUCAUGAAGUACUUUAAUUUUUAGAAACACUAGAAUAUUUAUUAACAUUUGAUUAUUAUUAUUUUUAAAUUUAGACUCAAUUGUGAGUCACGUCAUAACUUUCAAUUAGUCCUAUUUUUAUUAUUUGUUAGAACUACUUUUAUUAAUGUUUGAUAAAAGAUAUGAUUCCAAAUUGUUCCGC